rnacentral:rRNA from 1 species
UUGAACGCUGGCGGCAUGCUUUACACAUGCAAGUCGAACGGUAACAGGUUAAGCUGACGAGUGGCGAACGGGUGAGUAAUGCAUCGGAACGUGCCCGAUCGUGGGGGAUAACGCAGCGAAAGCUGCGCUAAUACCGCAUACGAUCUGAGGAUGAAAGCAGGGGACCGCAAGGCCUUGCGCGGACGGAGCGGCCGAUGGCAGAUUAGGUAGUUGGUGGGAUAAAAGCUUACCAAGCCGACGAUCUGUAGCUGGUCUGGGCGGACGACCAGCCACACUGGGACUGAGACACGGCCCAGACUCCUACGGGAGGCAGCAGUGGGGAAUUUUGGACAAUGGGGGAAACCCUGAUCCAGCCAUGCCGCGUGCAGGAUGAAGGCCUUCGGGUUGUAAACUGCUUUUGUACGGAACGAAAAGAUCUCUUCUAAUAAAGGGGAUCCAUGACGGUACCGUAAGAAUAAGCACCGGCUAACUACG